GGCCGAAGUGGAGAAGGGUUCCAUGUGAACAGCAGUUGAACAUAGGUCAGUUGGUCCUAAAAGAUAGGCGAGUACCAUUCCAAAGGGACAGGCGAUGGCCUCCAUUGCCCUCAGCUGAUUGAAAAGGAAUUGGGUUUAGAUCCCCAAAUCCAGAGUGGUGGAGACAGGCACCGUGAGGCGUCCAGUGCGAUAACGCAACCGAUCCUGGAGAAACGGGCAGGAGCCCUGGGGAGAGUUUUCUUUUCUUUGUGAAGGGCAGGGAGCCCUGGAAUGGGUUUGCCCUGAGAGAGGGUCCCAAGCCUUGGAAAGCAUCAUGGUGAGCUCCUGCUGGUCCUUGAAAAUCUGGGAGAGAAGGUGUAAAUUUCACACUGGGCCAUACCCAUAUCCGCAGCAGGUCUCCAAGGUGAUCAGUCUCUGGCAUGUAAGAACAAUGUAGGUAAGGGAAGUUGGCAAGCCGUAUCUGUAACUUCAGGAUAAGGAUUGGCUCUAAGGGCUGGGUCGGUUGAGCUGGGGUGCGAAGUGGGGUUAUGCACAAGCCACAGCUGGAAGAGGUACCUACCCCGCCUCCCAGGGGGCUGGUAGCAACUCUGGACACAAGCCAGGCCCUUCCUGUGAAUAACCCCAUCUGCGGUGGGCAUCGCCCACCUCUCCUCCUCCAUGGGGAUGGGGGGGUUGGUGUUCUGCCUCAGCUGGUGCCUAGCAGCUGACUUUGAAUUGGCAUGGACCAGGGGAAUCUGACUGUUUAAUUAAAACAAAGCAUCGUGAAGGCGGGUGUUGAUGCAAUGUGAUUUCUGCCCAGUGCUAUGAAUGUCAAAGUGAAGAAAUUCAACGAAGCACAGAUAAAGGGCAGGAGUAACUAUGACUCUCUUAAGAAGGCAUCUCCUUUAAGGGCAACACUCUGGUUACAUGGUCAUAGCAGGUUUGUGCCAGGUAUCUCCACGUGGUUCCCAUUGGGUGCCACAGGCCCAGAUCUGUCGGUAGCUUGAUCCUGGCACAAUACUGCUGGUGCUUCCUUGCUAUUGAGUGCCUUGCAAACAUUUGGCAGCCCCCAUCACUUCAUUGCAAAAAACACAAUGUCCUCAAUGGAUGAGCAGCUAGACAGCCCCACUACUGGCCAAAACUGUUCACCACACAGUUAUCAGAUGGUGUCUGUGCUGACCUGUGGCCCCAUGGGUCUGGUGGUACAGGAAAGGCCAGCUCAUAGCCGUGCCAGACAGGGGGGGCUCGCUUAUGAGGCCCCCACACCGACGGUAGGUGAUGCCCCACGUUGGCCACCUGCAGACCUAGGACACAGGCCUCGGAGCCCACUCCCACCCCAGAGAGUUCCCACUCAGAGGCCAUUAGGUCAGUGCCAUCCAGGGAGGGCCACGGCCUUGGUUGUGAGUCCCCCUCGGUGCAGAAGCCCGAGGCUGAUACCACCACCCCUGGUGAGAGUGCGCCCACCAGGGAGGGUGAAUCACCCUCCGUCAGGGUUUUCCUGGUGAGGCUGCCUGAUUUGCAGGGACCAUGCGGACCUCCGUGUCUGAUUUGCAGGGACCAUGCGGGUAAACCCUCUGUGCUGGCUCUCCACUGUGUGGCAGACCAUGCAUGGGCAGAUGUGCAAUACCAGUGCACCCAUUGCAACAGGGUCAGUGCUAACAAGCACAGCAUCCUCUACCACAUCCCACGUUGCCAGGGGAGGAUGCUGGAGUGGACCAGGAAGGACUGGGCUUGUCCUGAGUGCCCUGCCUCCUUCAAUAUAAAAGUAGGCCUAUCACAGUAAAAAAUGGCAUGCACAUAUGGUAACACAUAAUGUGGAACGGGUUGCAGAUAGCCUGUCGAGAACCGGUUUAAGGCCCCGGACCAGAUGUGGGUGCUGGUCAGUGGAAGAAGAGGAAACUCUCACCAAUCUUGACAUGAUGUUUCCUCACACCCAGAACAUCAACCAGCUGAUUGCUGCUGAGAUGGUGUCAAAGACACCUAAGCAGAUCAGUGACAAAUGGAGGUUGCUCACUCUGUGUCCUGAGCAGACCACAUCAGGUGGUGAGGCUGAAUCUGCCUCCACGGUGGAGGUGGAGUCCGUGACUCUGGAGACAGAAACCCAAAGCCCAGUUGAACCACCUAAGAAAAUCAAGAAGAUCCUGGCCCAGAGGGCACACCAGUGGCUGAAGAGGGGGCAGGGUCUGUCAGAGAAGGUACGGGAAGUCUUGGACACAUGGGUGGAGGGUCAACCUGGGAUUCGUGCCUGGGUCGACUCUGUCUCCCUUGAUGUUUUGACUUCAUUCUUGCGGGUGCUGCCAGGACCGCAGAGGGCUUCGAGCAAGAAGGGGCCCAAGGAGAGUGGCAAACUUAUAUCCUGGAUGAACAAAUGUGCCAUCAAACAGGGCACAUUCCUUCAGUACCAGCACCUGUUUGGUACUGACAGGAAGCUCCUGGCAGCCAUCAUCCUGUGCCAGAGUGUAAUCAGUGCACCCUCCCACUCGAGAAGGUCUUCCAGGCCUACCGAGUAAAAUGGGAGGCUGAGCCACCUUUUGAGUGUCUCGGAUGGUUUGGGGUCUAAAGAGAUGUGGAUAACUUUGCAUUCAAGGCCUUGAUCACUCUGGAGGAGGUUGUCAAGCUCAUGAUGGCAAUGGCCAACAACUUGUCUCCAGGUCAGGAUAAGCUCACCCUGAAAGAUCUGUGCCACGUGGACCCUGAGGGAGAUGCUCUUGCUGAACUGUUCAGCCUGUGGCUGAUCACUGCUGUGUCCUGGACAGACUUAAGUAGUGUUGGUCCAUGCUGAUACCAAAGGCAGCGGACUUUGAGAAGGUGAGGCAGCUGGGCAACUGGUGCCCCAUCACUAUCAGGUCCAUUGUGUUAUGGCUAUUCUCAUGAGUGCUACCCGCACGGCUCACUGCAGCACACCCCAUCAGCCCCAACCAGUGGGGGUUCAUCUCAGCACCUGGGCAUGCUGAAAACCUGAAGGUGCUUGAGUUCAUCUUGCACAAGAUGAAGUGAGACAGGUGACUGCUGGGGGUAGUAUCAGUGGAUAUAGCAAAGCUUUUGACUCGGUGUCACACAAUCACAAUUCCUGGGUCCUAAAGGCCAGAGGGAUGGAACAACACAUCAUGAAUCUCAAAGAAGAUUCAUAUCAGAAGGUUACUAUGAGAGUACAAGUGUUUAGUGGUUCCACCCCGCCCAUCAGCAUCAAAGCUGGGGUCAAGCAAGGUGAGCCGAUGUUUCCUCAUGUUGUUCAACAUUGCAAUGGAUCCCUUGAUAGCCAAGCUCAAGACAGUUGGGCAGGGAGUGAAAGCCGGGAAUGCUUCCUUCACCACCCUGGCAUUCAUGGAUAAUCUCAUCCUGCUGAGUGACUCUUGGGAGGCCAUACAACACAACAUCAGAAUCCUAGAAGAUUUCUGCAACCUCACGAGCCUACGAGUGCAACCCACAAAAUGUCAGGGAUUCUUCUUGAAUCUGACAUGUAACUCCUAUACGGUGAACACCUACGAGGCUUGGAAGAUUGUCGGCCAUGCAAUCAUGAUGAUGAGAAGAGGUGUGUCACCACAACAUCUAAGCUUGAAUGUCAGUCCUUGGGUUGGGAUUGGCAAACAUGAUUUGGGUACGCAACUAAGCUCCUGGCUUGAGAGGAUAGGGACUGCCCAGCUCAAACCAAAGAAGAAGCUCUCUUUUCUGGUGUAGUAUGCCAUUCCCAGGCUGCAAUAUCAGGCCGAUUAUGUGAACACUGGUCAGGUGGCCUUGGAGGCUCUGGAUUGGUUCCACCUACCUGCCUGUACCUCGGACAGCCUCCUCCACUCCUGCCACUGGGAUGGGGGCCUUGGGCGCCACACCUGGCAAAAGCCAUUCUGGCAGUGCAAGUAAGGAGUCUGAUUCACAUAGCUGUCUCAUCUGAUGAAGUCACACAGAAAGUAUCUUACACAUGUGGGAUAAGUGAUGAAGUGGAACGGCUCUGGUUGGCAGGUGGGGGAGACAUGUCCAAUGUCCUGAGGUUUGAAGAUCCUGAUGCCCUGAAGUCUCCAGAGAUACAAGGCCCCCAUGAGGCUGCCCAGCAGGCAUCACACCUCAUCCUGGCACAGGUGAUCCCCCAGCUCUCCAACUGGAGAGCUGAAGAACACUUCAAAUGGGCCCAACUCAGCUUUCAGGGCCAGGGGGUGGAGCUGUUCCACAAUGACCGAGUCAGCAAUGGCUAGAACAGCAGUUGGGGAUGAUCGAGUCAGCAAUGGCUAGAACAGCAGUUGGGGGUGGGUGAUGGAGUAUCUCCAGAUCAUGGCCUUAAAACUGCAUUUGAACAUUUAUCCCCACAGGGAGUUUCUUGGGAGAGUCCAGACAGGGACCAACGUAGGUUGCUGGCACUGUGCUUACCCUCAAGGGACCUUAGGGCAUAUCCUGGGCAUAUGUCUUGCUGUGCAGGAGGUGUGGAUACUCUGGCACAACAAGCUGUGUAAUAUCCUGGCAGUUGAGGGUAAAAAGCGUGAUUGGACAGAGUACUAUGAGCCGCACCUGCACAACGCAACUAGGGAACUGUGAAAGCCUGACCGCAUCUUUGUCUAAGAUGGUACUGCCCUGGUGGUCAAUGUCACUGUGCGGUAUGAAGGGGGACCCACUUCCCUCCAUCCCUCUGCUGCAGAAAUGGCCACAAAAUACCUGGACCUGACUGAACAAAUACAGAAGCUCACGGGGGCUGAGCAGGUCACCUACUUUGACUUCCCUCUUGGAGCCAGAGGAAAUUGGCACGCUGACAACUGUUGAGUACUGUCUGAGCUGGGGUUGUCCCAUUCCCGGAAAGAGCGGGUCACAAGGCUCCUGUCAUGGUGGGCCCUGCUAGGGUCAGUGGACAUAGUUAACAUCUUUGUGUCUAAGCACAGGCAGGAAAACUUAUUGGAUGAUGCACUGCGCCCUACCUGAGUAGUUGUGACACACAUUGAAUCUCUCUCUUGGGACCCCAAAGAUAAAAACAAACAAACAAACAAUACAGUUAUUUUUACAUGUGUGUUCAUCCCUUUGGUUUCGCCUCCAAGUUGCGAUCCCCCAUCUCCCCUGCUCUGUCUUCCUGAAUGGCUGGAGAUGUUGAGGCUUGGUCAUCUACAGGGUCAAGUGCUCCAGCCCUGGGUAGGACUUGGUGGCCAGGCUUUUCUGGGCAUUGGAUACUGCCCGGGGCAACUGGGAGAGAUUCAUCCUGACCAUCGCUGGGCUAGGUGUGGCACUGCCCAGCCUCCCAUACUGUCAAGUGCCCUGCUACCACUUGGGUAGCUGUCCUCACUCCUUUGACCCUCCUAGUACCCUCCACCUCUUCACUUUUGCUAUCCCUCUGUGGCCAGUGAUGUCAAAGUUGGUGCAUCCUCAGUCACCUCCAGGGCCAAGUGCCUUGGCUGCGAGUAGGACCUGGCACCCCUACCCAGGGUGCCAGACACCACAUGCAGCAAGUGGAAGGGAUCUUUCCUGACUGUUACCAGACUAGGGACAAUGCUGCCUAGCCCGCCAUAUAGUCAAGCACUCCACUGCUGCUCAAGUUAGUGGCUUAUGCUCCUGCAUCCCACCUAGUGUCCUCCACAUCCAUGCUAAGCUGUCCCUAUCCAGAGGAUGAUUAGGCAAGAGGGGCUUGCCCCUCUGCCUAGGAUGGUGGCUUGGAGUAUCCAAUGACUUCUGGCCACCCCCGUCUUGUACUGCUAGAGGGGGACCACAGUGACCAGUGCAAGCCAAACUUGACGUUUAGCCAGUUGGGUGCAACAUCUCAGCUGCAGUCCCAAAGGGCCAAUGGCCAGGUAAGGGGUGGGGGGGCUGCCCCACCUCCGACGAUUGUGGCCUGGAGUAGUGAAUGACUUCUGGCCACCCCCCACCUUGAACCACUAGAGCAGAGCCUCAGUGACCGGUGCAAGCCAAACUUGACAGUUAGUCAGUCAGGUGCAACAUCCCAGCUGCAGGCCCUCUGGGGCCAACAAUCAGGCAAGGAGGGAUCAACCUCCUUCCAACAACAGCAGCCUGGAGUAGUGAGAGACUUCUGGCCAUCCCAGUCUUGUGCUGCUAGACGGGAACCUUGGUGACCGGUGCAAGUCAAACUUGAUGGUUAGUCAGUCGGGUGCAACAUUCUGGCUGCAUGCCCACUGAGGCCAUUUCCAAAGGGCAUGUGGCAUGUGUACUGUGUUGGGAGGGAUGACACCCUGAGAAUGGCACAAAACAGACUGAAGGGAGACACUUUGCUAAAAGUGUUUCUGGCUACUCCUAGACUUGGAGUGGUGCUGCCUCACCUGACAUACAGUCAAGCACCCUACUGCUCCCUUUGGGCAGCAGAAUUCAUCCCAACCUCUUACUCACCCAAAUCUGCACUUUGUUCCACUAUCCUGUGUUUCCGAGUCACCUCACUGUCUACCCUCUGCACUGUGUUUCUCUCAAGUGGUUCAGUCUCAACAUGAUUACCUCCCAUGCUUCCAAUCAGGGCAGCUUCUCAUAUGAUGGAUUGCUGGUGCAUGUCAGUCAUCACAAGACCACCGGACCCUCCGGUGAUCACUAUAGUCAUAGCUGUGUUGCAUGGGGCAUGCUGAGCCACUUAACCGAACAGCUCUAAAUAACCCCAAAGAGGUGCCCUUUGGAGCACCCUCCCGUGGAGCAGAAGAGCAAAAGCUCACUUGAUCCUGAUUUUCAGUAUGAAUACAGACCAUGAAAGUGGGGCCUCAUGAUCCUUAUGAGUUUUUGAGUUUUAAGCAGGAGGUGUCAGAAAAGUUAUCACAGGGAUAACUGGCUCGUGGCAGCCAAACAUUCAUAGAGACAUUGCUUUUUGAUCCUUUGAUGUGGGCUCUUCGUAUCAUUGUGAAGCAGAAUUCACCAAGCGCUGGAUUGUUCACUCACUAAUAGGGAAAGUGAGCUGGGUUUAAACGGUCAUGAAACAGGUUAGUUUUACCCUACUGAUGAUGAGUUGUUGCAAUAGUAAUCCUGCUCAGUACGAGAGGAACCACAGGUUCAGACAUUUGGUAUAUAUGCUUGGCUGAGGAGUUACCAUCUGUGGGAUUAUGACUGAACACCUCUAAGUCAAAAUCCCCCCUAAACAUAAUGAUACCACAGCACCAUGGAGCCUCAGAUGGCCCCAGAUAGCCA
rnacentral:ncRNA from 1 species